AUGUGAAAAGCCUGGUUGUGAAGCUCUUGGCCUCUGCCUGGUUCAACCCUGGCUUGGUGCUUCCAUGUAAGGGGAGAACUAGGUGCAAGAUCCCUUUCCCGUCUCUUUCAAGUAGGUAAGUCUUAAAAAGUUCUGUUUGGAUUCUCGCUAGAGCUUUCUGCAGCCAAUUAUUUUUCCAGCAGAUUGAA